GGAGGGUGCAAGCGUUAAUCGGAAUUACUGGGCGUAAAGCGCACGCAGGCGGUCUGUCAAGUCGGAUGUGAAAUCCCCGGGCUUAACCUGGGAACUGCAUUCGAAACUGGCAGGCUAGAGUCUUGUAGAGGGGGGUAGAAUUCCAGGUGUAGCGGUGAAAUGCGUAGAGAUCUGGAGGAAUACCGGUGGCGAAGGCGGCCCCCUGGACAAAGACUGACGCUCAGGUGCGAAAGCGUGGGGAGCAAACAGGAUUAGAUACCCUGGUAGUCCACGCCGUAAACGAUGUCGACUUGGAGGUUGUUCCCUUGAGGAGUGGCUUCCGGAGCUAACGCGUUAAGUCGACCGCCUGGGGAGUACGGCCGCAAGGUUAAAACUCAAAUGAAUUGACGGGGGCCCGCACAAGCGGUGGGGCAUGUGGUUUAAUUCGAUGCAACGCGAAGAACCUUACCUACUCUUGACAUCCAGAGAACUUAGCAGAGAUGCUUUGGUGCCUUCGGGAACUCUGAGACAGGUGC
rnacentral:rRNA from 1 species